rnacentral:ribozyme from 1 species
CCUUCACUAUUCAGCAUACCUCUACGUGGUGUGAAGGACCUAGUAGGAGCAAUUCGAAGCUAAAAGGCUG